GACGAACGCUGGCGGCGUGCUUAACACAUGCAAGUCGAGCGGUAAGGCCCUUUCGGGGGUACACGAGCGGCGAACGGGUGAGUAACACGUGGGUGACCUGCCCUCAGCUCUGGGAUAAGCCUCGGGAAACCGGGUACUAAUACCGGAUAUGACUCCAUGACGCAUGUUGUGGGGUGGAAAGCCUUGUGCGGCUGAGGAUGGGCCCGCGGCCUAUCAGCUUGUUGGUGGGGUGAUGGCCUACCAAGGCGACGACGGGUAGCCGGCCUGAGAGGGCGACCGGCCACACUGGGACUGAGACACGGCCCAGACUCCUACGGGAGGCAGCAGUGGGGAAUCUUGCGCAAUGGGCGAAAGCCUGACGCAGCGACGCCGCGUGAGGGAUGACGGCC
rnacentral:rRNA from 1 species